rnacentral:rRNA from 1 species
GACGAACGCUGGCGGCGUGCCUAAUACAUGCAAGUCGAGCGAACAGAUAAGGAGCUUGCUCCUUUGACGUUAGCGGCGGACGGGUGAGUAACACGUGGGUAACCUACCUAUAAGACUGGGAUAACUUCGGGAAACCGGAGCUAAUACCGGAUAACAUUUGGAACCGCAUGGUUCUAAAGUGAAAGAUGGUUUUGCUAUCACUUAUAGAUGGACCCGCGCCGUAUUAGCUAGUUGGUAAGGUAACGGCUUACCAAGGCGACGAUACGUAGCCGACCUGAGAGGGUGAUCGGCCACACUGGAACUGAGACACGGUCCAGACUCCUACGGGAGGCAGCAGUAGGGAAUCUUCCGCAAUGGGCGAAAGCCUGACGGAGCAACGCCGCGUGAGUGAUGAAGGGUUUCGGCUCGUAAAACUCUGUUAUUAGGGAAGAACAAACGUGUAAGUAACUGUGCACGUCUUGACGGUACCUAAUCAGAAAGCCACGGCUAACUACGUG